GGAUGCGAUCAUACCAGCACUAAUGCACCGGAUCCAUCAGAACUCCGAAGUUAAGCGUGCUUGGGCGAGAGUAGUACUAGGAUGGUGACCCCCUGGGAAGUCCUCGUGUUGCAUCCC
rnacentral:rRNA from 1 species